rnacentral:rRNA from 1 species
UACGUAGGGUGCGAGCGUUAAUCGGAAUUACUGGGCGUAAAGCGUGCGCAGGCGGUUCGCCAAGUCAGGUGUGAAAUCCCCGGGCUUAACCUGGGAAUUGCGCUUGAAACUAGCGGGCUUGAGUUCGGGAGAGGGAAGCGGAAUUCCGGGUGUAGCGGUGAAAUGCGUAGAUAUCCGGAGGAACACCGGUGGCGAAGGCGGCUUCCUGGACCGACACUGACGCUGAGGCGCGAAAGCUAGGGGAGCAAACGGG